UUUCCAGAAUGCUCGGUGAGACGCGGAGGAGCGGCGGCUGCCCGAGCUGCGCCCAGCAACGCGCUCCUUCCCGCUCCCCCACACCGGCCUCGGCCCUCUCACCGGCUGUAGAAAAUGGUGAAAGAAACCACUUACUAUGAUGUUUUGGGGGUCAAACCCAAUGCCACCCAAGAGGAAUUGAAAAAGGCCUACAGGAAACAGGCCUUGAAGUACCACCCUGAUAAGAAUCCAAAUGAAGGAGAGAAGUUUAAACAGAUUUCUCAAGCUUACGAAGUACUCUCUGAUGCAAAGAAAAGGGAAUUAUAUGACAAAGGAGGAGAACAGGCAAUUAAAGAAGGUGGAGCUGGUGGUGGUUUUGGCUCCCCCAUGGACAUCUUUGAUAUGGUUUUUGGAGGAGGAGGAAGGAUGCAGAGAGAAAGGAUAGGUAAAAAUGUUGUGCAUCAGCUCUCAGUAACCUUAGAAGAUUUAUAUAACGGUGCAACACGAAAACUAGCUCUGCAAAAGAAUGUGAUUUGCAAUAAAUGUGAAGGCCAAGGUGGUAAGAAAGGAGCAGUCGAAUGUUGUCCCAAUUGCCGAGGUACUGGAAUGCAAAUAAGAAUUGAUCAGAUAGGACCUGGAAUGGUUCAGCAAACUCAAUCUGUGUGCAUGGAAUGCCAGGGCCAUGGGGAACGGAUCAGUCCCAAAGAUAGAUGUAAAAGCUUGCAAUGGGAGGAAGAUAGUUCGAGAGAAGAAGAUUCUAGAAGUUCAUAUUGACAAAGGCAUGAAGGAUGGCCAGAAGAUAACAUUCCAUGGUGAAGGAGACCAAGAACCAGGACUGGAACCAGGAGAUAUUAUCAUUGUUUUAGAUCAGAAGGACCACACUGUUUUUACUCGGCGAGAAGACCUUUUCAUGCGUAUGGACAUACAGCUGGUUGAAGCACUGUGCGGCUUUCAAAAGCCAGUAUCUACUCUUGACAACUGAACCAUCGUCAUCACCUCUCACCCAAGUCAAACUGUCAAGCAUGUAGAUAUCAAGUGUGUGCUAAAUGAAGGCAUGCCAAUUUAUCAUAGACCAUGUGAGAAGGGUCGCCUAAUCAUCGAAUUUAGGGGUGGUGUUCAGUGUCAGACCUCUUAA